rnacentral:rRNA from 1 species
AGUGAACGCUGGCGGUAGGCCUAACACAUGCCAGUCGAACGGCAGCACAGUAAGAGCUUGCUCUUACGGGUGGCGAGUGGCGGACGGGUGAGGAAUACAUCGGAAUCUACUUUUUCGUGGGGGAUAACGUAGGGAAACUUACGCUAAUACCGCAUACGACCUACGGGUGAAAGCAGGGGAUCUUCGGACCUUGCGCGAUUGAAUGAGCCGAUGUCGGAUUAGCUAGUUGGCGGGGUAAAGGCCCACCAAGGCGACGAUCCGUAGCUGGUCUGAGAGGAUGAUCAGCCACACUGGAACUGAGACACGGUCCAGACUCCUACGGGAGGCAGCAGUGGGGAAUAUUGGACAAUGGGCGCAAGACUGAUCAAGCCAUACCGCGUGGGUGAAGAAGGCCUUCGGGUUGUAAAGCCCUUUUGUUGGGAAAGAAAAGCAGCAGGUUAAUACCCCGCUGUUCUGACGGUACCCAAAGAAUAAGCACCGGCUAACUUCGUG